GGCCUGCCCUGUCUCUCCCCUUCCUAGGGACGGCCUCGCUGUAGUACUGUGGCCCGGAAGAGAUGACCGGAGCUGUCAGGGUGGACAUCUGCUCCUAAGGACGACGGAUCACUGGGGGCCUGGGAGAUGACUGGGUUGACAAAGUGGUUGCUACACAAGCAUGAGGAGGACCCGGGUUCAAAUCCCCAGCCCCCGUGUCAAACACCUGGUUCUUGACUAGGGCCAUGAAAGACUGGGAGGCAUGCCCUUCAGAAAUGAGCAGGUCUUCAGAGGCUCCACUGCCCCGGCUAAGUCCUCUUGAACUAAGGCCUCCGUCCUCAUCACUGCAAGUGGCUCUCCUCUGCCCGUGUCCUGAGUUUUCCCAGGCAUUGAGAGGCCGGCUCGGCAGAGCUGGUAUGUAUGUGCACAUGUGGGGCUGGGUAUAGAGAAAAGGACAGGAAUGCUAUUCUACAAAUUCUACAAAUUCUUCUAUGGCCAAUUCACUGUGACCUCAGCCAACUCCAGCACCUUCUCAGGCCUCGGUUUCCCCUGGUCAUAAAAUAUGGGGUUAAUUGUCCCUUCUAGGGAAGCUGGGAGGGUUAAUUGGGCAAGGGCUCUGAAGAGAAGGAGAUCUAUAAAUACAAGGGAUCAUUAGAGGGUAUUUCACAGCCGUUUUGUGGCCCCGAUGGUAUUAUUAAUAUGAUUAUUGUUAUUGUUAUCACUGCCGUCGCCCACUUCCCGAGUCUCUGCCAGCUGGGUCCUGCUUCCAGGAGAAGGAACUCUGCCAGUGGCCUCUGUGACCCUCCACUCUCCACACUCAAGAGUCUCAGGGGACCCCUUGGGAGGCUAUUCCAGUGUGGCUUCAUGGAGAGAGGCAAGAGGUCCAAGGCACUAUGCUGGGAGUGGGGAGUGAGCCGCCGAGAUGGAGAUGAACAUGGGGCCGGAAGCGGUGGCGAGCAAGUAACUUUGCACAGAACGUUAGAAAUGGGGACAGAGUGACAACUUGGACCGGGAAGAGGUGGAAAGCAGCUGGAGUCAAGAAGGGAACCAGCACUGACACAGCUCGCCUCCAGGCCCAUCAGGGACAAGAUGGCGCCCUGGGUGACAUGGGAAGACCCGACCGGAACCAGCUGAGCACCUUUGCUCUUCAAAUACCACUGCAGACGCCUGGCUCCAUCCUAGGGACUGACUUCCUGGGACAGGACAGGAGCUCAACUUCAGAACCGGUGAGAGGCUUUCCGCUGAGUCUGAAGUAUGCUCAGGAGACCGGAGCUCUAGCUCAGAGGUGGAGCACUUUGCCGAGCAUGCACAAGGCUCUGUGUUUGCCCCCCUGCAUGGCAAAAAUAAACCGUGGCCAGGGAGAAAUCCAGCUCUUUGGAGCCUAGCCUCUUCCCUCACCUGGAAGAGAGGCCAACUUGGAAAAAGA